rnacentral:rRNA from 1 species
UACGGAGGAUCCAAGCGUUAUCCGGAAUCAUUGGGUUUAAAGGGUCCGUAGGUGGUUUAAUAAGUCAGAGGUGAAAUCCUGCAGCUCAACUGUAGAAUUGCCUUUGAUACUGUUGAACUUGAGUCAAUGUGAAGUAGUUAGAAUGUGUAGUGUAGCGGUGAAAUGCAUAGAUAUUACACAGAAUACCGAUUGCGAAGGCAGACUACUAACACUGUACUGACACUGAUGGACGAAAGCGUGGGUAGCGAACAGG